UGCGUAGGCGGCUUUUUAAGUUUGGUGUGAAAUCUCCCGGCUCAACCGGGAGGGUGCGCCGAAUACUGAGAGGCUAGAGUGUGGGAGAGGAAAGUGGAAUUCCUGGUGUAGCGGUGAAAUGCGUAGAUAUCAGGAGGAACACCGGUGGUGUAAACGGCUUUCUGGACCAUAACUGACGCUGAGGCACGAAAGCGUGGGUAGCAAACAGGAUUAGAUACCCUGGUAGUCCACGCCCUAAACGAUGCAUAUUUGGUGUGGGCCAUUCAUUUGGUCUGUGCCGGAGCUAACGCGUUAAAUAUGCCGCCUGGGGAGUACAGUCGCAAGGCUGAA
rnacentral:rRNA from 1 species